GGGGGUAUAGCUCAGUGGUAGUGCGCUCCCUUAGCAUGGGAGAGGGCGAGGUUCAAUUCCCCACAUCUCCA